GCCUGAUCCAGCAAUGCCGCGUGUGUGAAGAAGGCCUUCGGGUUGUAAAGCACUUUUGUCCGGAAAGAAAUCCUUGGCUCUAAUACAGUCGGGGGAUGACGGUACCGGAAGAAUAAGCACCGGCUAACUACGUGCCAGCAGCCGCGGUAAUACGUAGGGUGCGAGCGUUAAUCGGAAUUACUGGGCGUAAAGCGUGCGCAGGCGGUUUGCUAAGACCGAUGUGAAAUCCCCGGGCUCAACCUGGGAACUGCAUUGGUGACUGGCAGGCUAGAGUAUGGCAGAGGGGGGUAGAAUUCCACGUGUAGCAGUGAAAUGCGUAGAGAUGUGGAGGAAUACCGAUGGCGAAGGCAGCCCCCUGGGCCAAUACUGACGCUCAUGCACGAAAGCGUGGGGAGCAAACAGGAUUAGAUACCCUGGUAGUCCACGCCCUAAACGAUGUCAACUAGUUGUUGGGGAUUCAUUUCCUUAGUAACGUAGCUAACGCGUGAAGUUGACCGCCUGGGGAGUACGGUCGCAAGAUUAAAACUCAAAGGAAUUGACGGGGACCCGCACAAGCGGUGGAUGAUGUGGAUUAAUUCGAUGCAACGCGAAAAACCUUACCUACCCUUGACAUGGUCGGAAUCCUGCUG
rnacentral:rRNA from 1 species